GUGCUUGUGUUGGCAACACAUAUACUAAAACUAUAAUGAAACAAAGAAGAUCUGCAUGGCCUUUGUGGUAGGAUGACACACAAAUUUGUGAAGUAUUGGUAUGUCUC